ensembl:lncRNA
GCCCCGCCUUCUCUGCGGCUGCACCGCCCCGCGGGGGUUCGGUUCCGAGCGUCGCCUUCCUCUACGGUCUCCGUGUGGAGCCCGGCCGCGGGGUUCUAACGGUCCAGCCCGCAGGGACUCAGGACUGCGGUCUACCCCCGACCUCCUCACACCUUCCGGGGUGACCUGAGGGCGGAGCCUGAGUCCUGUGUCCCCGGUUGCACCGCCCCCAACCACCCCCGUCCCCUGUCGACCCCGUCUCCAGUCUCUUCCAAACCGGCCGGCCCCCGGCCUAGCAAUUCGAGAUUUCUCCCGUGGCUUCCGAGGAAAAGGAGGCCCCUACCCUGUAUCUGUGCCCUCCUUUGCAUCAGGGACCUAAACUGCUGUUUUGGAGAGGUUGUCUCUACCCCUCAGCUUGGUUGGUUUGAAACCCUGCACGACCUGUGAAGUCUUCCCCGGAUGGCUACAUCGUCUGGGGUCCCUUGUCCUGCCUGUACCCACAGCAAGCCCACGAAUCCAGGGCUUCCCUUGUUUCUGGAACAGCAGCCCUGAGGUUCUGUGGCUUCCCAGCUCUCAGCUGUCCCCCACCCCAGCGCCACCGCCCCUCAAAUGGGCCUUCACUUCUGCGCUGGGUCUCCUCACAGCCUCUCACCUGGCUGCCUGCCCAGUCUUCCCCACCCUAUCUCAGGAGAUCUUCCUAACUGGCAGGUCGAGGCACAACUUGGGGCAGCCAGCCCUGCAGGGGAAACUGUAUCCCCCAAGCGACUCCAGCUGGAUGUCAGGCCCUGAGAGAGGCAAGAGCUGAGCUGAGCUGCUUAGCUCCCCGACCAGAGAUCAAAUCCAGGCCCCCUGCAGCGGGAGCGCGGAGUCUAAGCCACUGGACCUGCAGGGAAGUCCCAGUCUGAUUGAUCCUCCACUCUUGUGA